rnacentral:rRNA from 1 species
CAGCGCCACAAGUGGGAAUCGCUUUUAUUGGGCCUAAAGCGUCCGUAGCCGGUCUAGUAAAUCUCUUGUGAAAUCGUUCGGCUCAACCGAGCGGCGUGCAGGAGACACUGCCAGACUAGGGACCGGGAGGGGUCAGAUGUAUUCUGGGGGGAGCGGUAAAAUGCUAUAAUCCUCAGAGGACAACCGGUGGCGAAGGCGUCUGACCAGAACGGAUCCGACGGUGAGGGACGAAAGCCAGGGGAGCAAUCCGGAUUAGAUACCCCCGUAGUCC